rnacentral:lncRNA from 1 species
UAUGGCCGGCCAAGCAAGGGAACAAAGAGAAAAAGAGAAGAACAAGCCCUAGAAAGAAAAAAUUCAAGAGAAAUUGUUGGAUUUCAAGGAAUCAAGCAAGUAAAGGUAAUAUUUUUUAAUUUUAACUUGUGAUCUACCUUUCCCAUGCAUUCUUUUGCAUUUUCCAAGGCUAAAAUUCAAGAUUUCAAGAGGAAACCUUUGCUGGCCAAAUCUAGAGAGAGAAGUUUUGAGGAUGGAUUUUGCUAGAUUUCAUAAUGUCCUAGUGUUUUUAGUCAUUUUGUGAUGUUUUGAAGGAAAAACAAGCAAGAAAAUAACAUGUUCUUGAACCACCCUCAUUUGGCCGAAUUUUCUAUAUGGCAUGUUGAUGAUGGAUUUGGUUGUAAUUCAUGUUAUUUAGCUAGGAAAUGAUGAAUUGUAAUGUUGGAUAUCGAAACCGGUUAUUGAAAAAUAUAGUUCCUUUAGAAAAUGGCUUGAUGGAAACUGAGAAAAUCAUAGUAAAUGGACUUGGAUUUGAUUUCUAAUGAUAUAUAUGGAUUUACGAGACUGUGUAGAUAUUGAUUGGUUUGUUAGUUCAUAAUCAGAAUGAAUUUCGAAAAAUGGUGAAGUUAGUCAAAAAUCAAGUUCAUUGUAAUGCUUUGGUGUAUUAGAUUAUUGGGAGUGUAAUGAAUAUAUUUGGAGUUGAAUCGGAUGUUUUGGUUAAAUCAAUGGUGUAUAGUUUGAAUUAGGUCGAAUACAAAUUCAUUCCGACCACAAUUGAACCCACGUAGAACACCAUCUUUAAGUGACUAUCCGAACAUUUCUCAUUCAACUUCAUGCAUUCAUAUAGAGUUUGAAAUAGUUUUAUAACAGUUUGGCACCAAUAUAUUGAAUUAUGUGUCGUGUAUUAUGUAUAGGUGGUGAGCCCUCUGAUAAGGGUAAAGAUAUCAUACCAGAGGAUCGAGAAUAGGAGUACUCCUACCACUCCAAACUCCUGCUAUUGUGAGUAAUCAGACGAUCAUCUUAACUAUCUAAAGUAGUUUAUACUUGUUUUUAUGAUUUUAAAGAAUGAUGAGUUUUAACUGGUAAAUUAUUAUAUUUUAAAAGUGAAAAGUGUUGGUUAAACGAAAUGAGAUUCAUAAUUUGGUUUGAAAUUGAAUACUGGUUUUGAAAAUUGAGUAAGUGGAGACUAUAUACUUAUGUUUGAUAUAUGGUUUGAAUUGAUGGCUUAUGACACUGUGAUGGCAUGAAUGGCUGGAUUUGUGUUUGUGUGGAAUCUAUGAACUGUUUUGUUUGGCCUUGAUAGGCUAGGUAAUAUCAUAUUAGCCAUGUCAUGCUGCAGAAAUUUUAUUGAAUUGGUGGGUUAUUUGAUUAGCUUACUACAGUGGGUGAGUUUUCGUGGACCAACCUAUGAGAGGG